GUCUAUGGCCAUACCACCCUGAACACGCCCGAUCUCGUCUGAUCUUGGAAGAAGACAUUGGCCAAUGAGAAAACUCCUUUAGAAAAGCUUUUAUAUUGGUAAUAAAAGAUU
rnacentral:rRNA from 1 species